rnacentral:rRNA from 1 species
GUGGGGGAUAUUGCACAAUGGAGGAAACUCUGAUGCAGCGACGCCGCGUGAGUGAAGAAGUAUUUCGGUAUGUAAAGCUCUAUCAGCAGGGAAGAUAAUGACAGUACCUGACUAAGAAGCCCCGGCUAACUACGUGCCAGCAGCCGCGGUAAUACGUAGGGGGCAAGCGUUAUCCGGAUUUACUGGGUGUAAAGGGAGCGUAGACGGAAUGGCAAGUCUGAAGUGAAAUCCUGCGGCUUAACUGCAGAAUUGCUUUGGAAACUGUCAAUCUGGAGUGUUGGAGAGGUAAGCGGAAUUCCUGGUGUAGCGGUGAAAUGCGUAGAUAUCAGGAAGAACACCGGAGGCGAAGGCGGCUUACUGGACAAUAACUGACGUUGAGGCUCGAAAGCGUGGGAAGCAAACAGGAUUAGAAACCCUGGUAGUCC